AAUAUGUAUAUGUAAAGUGAUGUUAGCAUGGGAGGGCGACUGAGAGGAGAAGAAGAUGGAAAAAGCAAGAGGGAGAAGGCGGUCGAUGGUGUGUAUUUUGGAGAGGUUAGAACGAAUGGUGACGCGCAUAAGGCGGUAGGAUGUAGUACGGAGUAUGGGUAGGAUGGUUGAAGC